UGGGGAAUAUUGGACAAUGGGGGCAACCCUGAUCCAGCAAUGCCGCGUGUGUGAAGAAGGUCUUCGGAUUGUAAAGCACUUUCGACGGGGACGAUGAUGACGGUACCCGUAGAAGAAGCCCCGGCUAACUUCGUGCCAGCAGCCGCGGUAAUACGAAGGGGGCUAGCGUUGCUCGGAAUGACUGGGCGUAAAGGGCGUGUAGGCGGUUUACACAGUCAGAUGUGAAAUCCCCGGGCUUAACCUGGGAGCUGCAUUUGAUACGUGUAGACUAGAGUGUGAGAGAGGGUUGUGGAAUUCCCAGUGUAGAGGUGAAAUUCGUAGAUAUUGGGAAGAACACCGGUGGCG
rnacentral:rRNA from 1 species